CUACUCAAUGAAGCUUAUUUUUAAAUAGUUGCAAUAUUUUGAUUGUACAAAGGUAGCAUAAUCAUUUUUCUUUUAAUUAAAGAAUGGAAUGAAAGAUUGGAUAAAAUAUUUACUAUAUAAAUUUAAUUUUAAAUUAAAUUUUAUUUUUAAGUAAAAAAUCUUAGAUUAAAUUAUUAGACGAUAAGACCCUAUAAAACUUUAUAUUUUUUAGAAAUUUUAUUUGUUUAAUAUUUAAAAUUUUAUUUUAAAAGUAUUUAAUUGGGGAAAUUAAAAAAUUUAAUAAAUUUUUUUAUUUAUAAUUACAAGUAUAAUUGGAUAAAAAAGAGUGUUUUUUAUAAAUUAUUAGAUUUAGUUACUUUAGGGAUAACAGCAUAAUUUUUUUGGAGAGUUCAUAUUGAUAAAAAAGAUUAUGACCUCGAUGUUGAAUUA
rnacentral:rRNA from 1 species